UACGUAGGGGGCAAGCGUUGUCCGGAAUCAUUGGGCGUAAAGAGCGUGUAGGCGGUUCGGUAAGUCGGCUGUGAAAGUCCAGGGCUCAACCCUGGGAUGCCGGUCGAUACUGCCGGACUAGAGUUCGGAAGAGGCGAGUGGAAUUCCACGUGUAGCAGUGAAAUGCGUAGAGAUGUGGAGGAACACCGAUGGCGAAGGCAGCCCCCUGGGUCAAGAUUGACGCUCAUGCACGAAAGCGUGGGGAGCAAACAGG
rnacentral:rRNA from 1 species